rnacentral:lncRNA from 1 species
CUCCUCUUUCUUUAUAGCUUUUAGAAAAAGUGUUUAUCUAAAACCUAAGAAAAGGAUAGACGAAAACUGUCUAAUAAGCAAAAAAAAAAAAAAAAAAAAAUCUGUCCUUUAUAUGAUUUUAGCAACAGCCCUGGGAAACAUGCAGUUUACAGUAGAUGCCAUUGCCUCCCUAAUCAUCAUGAUUCGUGUAGUUAUACUUCAAAGUUGCAUGGAAAGCAGAGAUGUCACAAUGAGAUUCCUUGAACAAAAAUCUUCUCUUUUGAAAGCAAGAAGUUGGCCAAACCCACCCAAACUGAAGAUUCUGAGUGGAAUAAAGCCCAGCUUCUUGAAACCUUUUCAGUCCAACCCAUGAAGUGAAAAGCAUUUAAAAAGAAAAAUAUGACCCGAUCUGAGAACUGUGGUUUCCAAGCUGCAACAAGAAAAGCCAAAGAUGGUUCCCCCUGACUGAACUUCCCCCCCAACUUGCACACCAGACACCGAAGUUCAGCUCCAGACCUGUCUCAUGGCUAUAAUAUGAAAUACAACAGCCCCAGUAACUAAGGCACAUCAGCUGUGCAGACAUUAUGCCCCACUGGAGACCACAGUUGUGCUCAUCACCCCAGCAGUGCAGAGGUUCAGCUCACCAUGUUCUGAGAUAUGUUGUUUCUCAUAACUCUUCCCUGUAAAUACCCAAGACAGCUAUAAAAAAAGGUGAGGCUGAAAGGUCAAACAAUUAGCUUUCCUACUUGUGAAGAAAUAGCUUUUCCAAGCUUAUUAAUGGAAAAAUACAGGAUGAGAUCGCCAGUUACCAUAAAUCAGUAUAACUCUUCUGAUUUCAGAAGGGCUGUGCUGUCUUAUACAAACAGAGAUUAUAUUGUCUGUAAUAUUAAAUUAUAAUAAAAAGUCUUACACUGA